UACAUGGGGUGCAAACGUUGCUCGGAAUUAUUGGGCGUAAAGCGCACGUAGGCGGUCUGUUAUGUCAAAUGUGAAAGCCCUUGGCUCAACUGAGGAAGUGCAUCCGAAACUGGCAGGCUAGAGUAUGUAAGAGAAUCGCGGAAUUCCCGGUGUAGAGGUGAAAUUCGUAGAUAUCGGGAGGAACACCAGUGGCGAAGGCGGCGACCUGGACGGACACUGACGCUGAGACGCGAAAGCGUGGGGAGCAAACAGG
rnacentral:rRNA from 1 species